rnacentral:rRNA from 1 species
AUUGAACGCUGGCGGCAGGCCUAACACAUGCAAGUCGAACGAGUGGCGGACGGGUGAGUAAUGUCUGGGAAACUGCCCGAUGGAGGGGGAUAACUACUGGAAACGGUAGCUAAUACCGCAUACCAUCGGAUGUGCCCAGAUGGGAUUAGCUAGUAGGUGGGGUAACGGCUCACCUAGGCGACGAUCCCUAGCUGGUCUGAGAGGAUGACCAGCAACACUGGAACUGAGACACGGGCCAGACUCCUACGAGAGGCAGCAGUGGGGAAUAGUGCAAAAUGGGCGCAAGCCUGAGGAAGCCAUGACGCGUGUAUGAAGAAGGCCGUCGGGUUGUAAAGUACUUUCAGCGAGGAGGCGUUAAUCGCAGAAGAAGCACCGGCUAACGCCCAGCCAGCAGCCGCGGUAAUUC